UUAAAAUAUAUUAUGUAUUGUAGUGCUACAAAUAUUUAAGUGUUUUUAGCUUUGCAUUGAAUAUAUCUCAAUUCAUUUGUAAAAAUUAAAAGAUAAAAACAUAUGGCUAAAAUUCUCAAAUUUCUUUAUGUUAUAGUUUUGUUUUUGUCUCUAUUCUUUCUUUCAGCGAAGGCUAUCCUUCCAUGCAAAACUGACGAAGAUUGUGACAAGGUGUUUGUUAGAGUUGACGGGAGUGCGUUUGAUGCCCAAGUUUUGUGCAUUGAAGACGAAUGUUGCUUGUUAAUGCCGAUAUAAGGAACAAAUAUAAAGAAAAAAUUAUGAAUAAUUUAUCUUAUGGUAGAAUAUUUUGUGAAAUUAUGACUUUGUUCUUUAAAAUAUUGACGAUGAAAUGAAAAAUACAAUGAAAAUUACAGCAAUGUAAUUUUUUUCAUA